GCGCGAAAACUUUACAAUGCUGGCAACAGCGAUAAGGGAACCUCGAGUGCCAGGUUACAAAUCUGGCUGUCGAGAUGCCUAAAAAGCAUUUCAUAGCAAGGGCCGGGCAAGACGGGUGCCAGCCGCCGCGGUAACACCGGCGGCUCGAGUGGUAACCGUUAUUAUUGGGUCUAAAGGGUCUGUAGCCGGCCGGAUAAGUCUCUUGGGAAAUCUGGCAGCUCAUCUGUCAGGCUUUCAGGAGAUACUGUCUGGCUCGAGGCCGGGAGAGGUGAGAGGUACUUCAGGGGUAGGGGUGAAAUCUUGUAAUCCUUGAAGGACCACCAGUGGCGAAGGCGUCUCACCAGAACGGACCUGACGGCAAGGGACGAAAGCUAGGGGCACGAACCG
rnacentral:rRNA from 1 species